CCAAUAUUCUUUAUUUAAAUUAUAUAUGAUAUAUGAUCUCUUAUUCAAGAAAGAAAAAAAUAUAGUUAAUUCGAAAAGGAGGAAGGAGGGAGCAUAUUUUACUUUGCUGCCAAAAUUACUUAUAGAUGACCUCAAGUUUUAUAAUUACAUGCGUAUGAAAAAAAUACCUAGCAACUGGGAAUUCAUAUGUCACCUUGUCAUAUUCUCAUAAACUUGGGGUAUCAACUAUAAAACUAAUAAUAGGAGAAAAUACAAAAGCUAUAUGGGAUAUUAUUCAACCCAUCCAUAUGAAGGUCCCAACAUUGGAGAUGUUUGAGGAAGUUGCUAAGGGCUUUGAUGAAAGGUGGAACUUCCCAAACUGUAUAGGUGCCAUUGAUGGGAAACAUUGUAAAACAAAAAAGUCUUCAUAUUCUGGAACCCAAUUUUAUAAUUACAAGCAUGGAUUUUCAAUAAUCCUUCAAGCAUUGGUGGAUCAUAAUGGCAAAUUUAUGGUUAUAGAUGUUGGCACUUAUGGAAGCCAAA